UACAGAGGGGGCAAGCGUUAUUCGGAAUUAUUGGGCGUAAAGGGCGCGUAGGCGGCCUGGCAAGUGGAAGGUGAAAUCCCUCGGCUUAACCGAGGAACUGCCCUCCAAACUGCUUGGCUUGAGUCCGGGAGAGGUGAGUGGAAUUCCCAGUGUAGCGGUGAAAUGCGUAGAUAUUGGGAGGAACACCGAUGGCGAAGGCAGCUCGCUGGGACGGUACUGACGCUGAGGCGCGAAAGCGUGGGGAGCAAACAGGAUUAGAA
rnacentral:rRNA from 1 species